UACAGAGGUCUCAAGCGUUGUUCGGAUUCAUUGGGCGUAAAGGGUGCGUAGGCGGCGCGGUAAGUCGGGUGUGAAAUCUCGGAGCUUAACUCCGAAACUGCAUUCGAUACUACCGUGCUUGAGGACUGGAGAGGAGACUGGAAUUUACGGUGUAGCGGUGAAAUGCGCAGAUAUCAGGAGGAACACCCGUGGCGAAGGCGGCUCUCUGGGACGGUACUGACGCUGAGACGCGAAAGCGUGGGGAGCAAACAGG
rnacentral:rRNA from 1 species